GGUUAUUUAUAUAGCUUACCGAAGACAGUUGGCGGCUUUGCCUUAAUUUUGCCAACCGAGGGAGAUACGUUGUUCACUACUAGAUGGUGAACUUUAUCCUCUAUGUCUUCAGUGACAUAGAGUUUUUUUAUUUAAAAA
rfam:Aerococcus viridans ATCC 11563 = CCTG 4311 strain ATCC 11563 contig00091, whole genome shotgun sequence.